rnacentral:tRNA from 1 species
GACCGUGUAGCUCAGUUGGCAGAGUAUUGGGCUAGUAUUCCAAAGGUCGUAGGUUUGAUUCCCACCGUGGCCA